AGGUUAGUGGCUGUUCAGUGUGGACUCUGUCUGCUGUGCACAAAUGCUCUUCUGUAUCCUGGACUGCUACCAGCUGAAUAUCUGUGCUCUACACCUGAACAGCUCUUUAAGAGACUACGGGGUUUCUUUAGCAGGUCAUACAAGCUGAUCAAAGUCUCAAAACCACAGACCUCUUACAGGUGACAGGUUGAGAUGGCUGCGUAUUCCUGGGCUGCUCUGAGGAAGCGGUUCAGGUCUCUCCUGGCAGCUGAUGCCGGCGAAGAUCUGUGACAGAUGGGGCGAAGUCACAAACUUGCAGCCCGAGGCAGAAUCGGCAGAACUUUCCAGAGUGUGCCCAUAUUUACCUGAUCAGAGAGAAAAAAGUGGGGGGGGGAGAAAAUCUGCAGAGGAAGCCGGAGCCUGGCUGCCUGUCAUAGCUGACACCAAGCCAUCUGCCACAAACCUGUGGCGGCUUCAGAUCUCCCUUCCCUGCCACCACCCCGGCCCAAAUUAAAUACAGAUCCAUACAGACGUUAUGAUGGCUACACAUGUCCCCAGCCUUACAUGCAGGAGACUUUUUUUUUG